AUUGAACGCUGGCGGCAGGCCUAACACAUGCAAGUCGAACGAGUGGCGGACGGGUGAGUAAUGUCUGGGAAACUGCCUGAUGGACGGGGAUAACUACUGGAAACGGUAGCUAAUACCGCUUACCAUCAGAUGUGCCCUGAUGGGAUUAGCUAGUAGGGGGGGUAAUGGCUCACCUAGGCGACGAUCCCUAGCUGGUCUGGGAGGAUGACCAGCCACACUGGAACUGAGACACGGUCCAAACUCCUACGGGGGGCAGCAGUGGGGAAUAUUGCACAAAGGGCGCAAGCCUGAAGCAGCCAUGCCGCGUGUGGGAAAAAGGCCUUCGGGUUGUAAAGCACUUGCGGCGAGGGGACGGUACUCGCAGAAGAAGCACCGGCUAACUCCGGGCCAGCAGCCGCGGUAAUAC
rnacentral:rRNA from 1 species